rnacentral:rRNA from 1 species
CACGUAUGCAACCUGGCUUCAACACUGGAAUAACCCGUUGAAAGACGGCCUAAUACCGGAUAAAACAGGGGCCCCGCCUGGGGAUAUUUGUUAAAGAUUCAUCGGUUGAAGAUGGGCAUGCGUAUGAUUAGUUAGUUGGUGAGGUAACGGCUCACCAAGGCAUCGAUCAUUAGGGGUUCUGAGAGGAAGGUCCCCCACACUGGUACUGAGACACGGACCAGACUCCUACGGGAGGCAGCAGUGAGGAAUAUUGGUCAAUGGGCGAGAGCCUGAACCAGCCAAGUCGCGUGAAGGAAGACUGCCCUAUGGGUUGUAAACUUCUUUUGUACAGGAAUAAAGUGAGUCACGUGUGGCUUUUUGUAUGUACUGUACGAAUAAGGAUCGGCUAACUCCGUG